ensembl:lncRNA
UUUUAAGGCAGACAAGAUUUGAAUCUUGAAUGUGAAAAGGACAUGGAGAGUUCAAAACAAAACUUUCAGGCUCUCUUUAUUCAUCAUUGACACAAACCCAUUUUCCCCCCCAGGUUAGCUACAUUUCUGCAGAAAUUGAUAAUGCUAGAAAAGUGCUAAUGCUUUGUACUGCUAACUCCAGGCUUAUGCCCUUUGUGAUUUGACCACUCCUCCUUCCCCUUCCCUUUUGUUUACAGUGAGUUGUUGGAGACGGCUUGCAUUGCACUCGAAUAUCAACCACUGGGACUUGGGAGAGUGAACAACUGACUUCCCUCUUGCUGCCUGAAACAUGAAAAUUAGAACUAUUUUUAAUUAUGACUCACAGGAAGUUGCUGUUGUACUAGAAAAUGGUGUAAGAGACUGUCCUGCAUAUCUCUGUGACAAACUUGAGGGCCCUUCUGUGUUUAUCGCAAUUAAUUUACCCAAUACUGCAUGUGUUCUCUGUCGGCAGAAAAGCUGUUCAGAGUCAUUCUAUGAUAUCAUGGUACUGCAAGAUGGAAAGCUAAAGUAUUUCAAUAGUACCUACAGAGGGUAUGUGUCCAUCUCCCAGAAAGGCUUUGCUGCAAAUAGGAGCAAAUGGCUAGAAGACGAAUAUCUGAUUCUAACCAGCCUGGAAAGAGAAUGUGUGGCCCAUGUGAUUCUGAUGAUGGCAGAUUCCACUUUGUCCCCACUCUCUCUACAUGUGACCACCCAAGCCAUAGAGGGAUCGUGGAAUGAGACUGACAAGAAGAAUUUCAUGACUUCUCAUGGCCAUGCUGGCUUGAUUACUGUAGUUGUCAUGGUGGUGGUGCUGCUGCUGCUAUUUGUGCUGUAUAAACAUAAGGUUAUCCCGUGUAGAAGAAAGAAGCCUGAGAUAUAAGCAAGUGAAGAUGAGUUGCUUUAGGAAGCUAUAAACAGUGGAAUGGAACUACAGAUGGCUUAGAGGGAGAACAAGUGUGCACUGUGAUGGUCAGGGUCUCUGCUAGCAGGGAAACAAGACCCACAUGGAGCCUCUUACCAGCAAUUACUAUUGGUGCUCUUCUGAUCUCUCCCACCUGAUUUGCACAUUUUGAGGACUUCUGUUUUGGAAAUUCCUAGUUCUGCUUGUGGUUUGGGAGAUAGCAGACCUGGAAUACACGUAGCCACUUUUCUAAUCCUACUUGCUGUUAACUGGCUUAGGUUGUGUUUUGUUUUUAAUUUAUUUUUGUAAGAGCUGUUCAAAGGCUUGCCUCAUUGCGUUCUAAGACCUGCCUGCCAUGUAGGCUUUGGUUUGCUUUCUGGUGUCUUCUGGGUUCACCUACCUGCCCAUUUCUAAUGCAUGUAUCACUGUAGUCUCUAGUGGCAGUUACAUUCCCCACCAUCAUGAAAUAUUUCUAGACUUAUUCUGAAAUACUGCAUCUCUGGAACGCCGUACUGUCUACUGCGUAUACAGGAAUCCAUUAUUUAUACAUUGCUUGCCUUUUUAGCCCUGCUCUCCCAAAACACUAGGUGCACAGCAUGAAAUACAAUCGGUCCAAAAGAGGUGUCAGUACAUUAUAAAGAUGCAUUAGUGGUUUUAAAAACCCACCAUCUGUUGCUAACCAAGAACCAUUCUUUAGCUAGCAGAAUCAUCCUGAUAAAAUAUGUCUUCCUCUUCUGAACAAAACUCAACAUUUUCUCAGGUAGCUUGAUCUUCAGAGAUGCACUUUUAAAUGUCUUAGAAAGAUCCUGAACAGCCAGCUAUAGUAGAAAGAGCCUGGGCCUGGUGCAAGGCCUGAGGCCUGAAUCAAAGUCAGCAAAAGUUAUGCUUAAAAGUUGUAGAUGCCAUGUUCUGAUCAUUUAUGAAGAUAUACGUCUGUUACAUAAUUACAAAUUAGUACCCGAGCCGAGCAUAUGAAGAU